UACAGAGGUGGCAAGCGUUGUUCGGAAUUACUGGGCGUAAAGGGCGCGUAGGCGGCCAUCUAAGUCAGACGUGAAAUCCCCCGGCUUAACCUGGGAACUGCGUCUGAUACUGGACGGCUCGAGUUUGGGAGAGGGAUGCAGAAUUCCAGGUGUAGCGGUGAAAUGCGUAGAUAUACUGGGAGGAAUACCGGUGGCGAAGGCGGCAUCCUGGACUAAUACUGACGCUGAGGCAGCGAAAGCUAGGGGAGCAAACAGG
rnacentral:rRNA from 1 species